rnacentral:lncRNA from 1 species
CUCCGAUGGGGACAUUGCGAAGGGUGCCUCCUUUAGUCCAGUAGCGCCGGCAAGACUUGCAGAAAUGGCGCGGCUGAGUGAGGUUGUAGUUGUUGUAGUAACAGAACUUUGUGUUUGAAGAAUCGCAUCGUGGGCAUCUCAGGUUCUCAGUGGUGGUGGCUGUGAUGGAAGAAGAUGGUAAAGGAGACGGUGAGGGUGAAGAUGAGCCAUCAAAAACUCCACUAGUGGUGGAAAGUUUAGGUCUUUCCCCUCCUAUUAAGCCGACAUUACUCCCACCCAACAGCUCCUGUAUCAUCUUUUUCUCUUCUCUGUUGAUCUAUAACAAUCAAAAAACCAGAAAAAGAAAAGAUGGAUUAGUCUUUUUUAGUGGAAAAGCAAAAGAGGAAGAAUCGCAUCGUGGGCAUCUCAGGUUCUCAGUGGUGGAAGAAGAUGGUAAAGGAGACGGUGAGGGUGAAGAUGAGCCAUCAAAAACUCCACUAGUGGUGGAAAGUUUAGGUCUUUCCCCUCCUAUUAAGCCGACAUUACUCCCACCCAACAGCUCCUGUAUCAUCUUUUUCUCUUCUCUGUUGAUCUAUAACAAUCAAAAAACCAGAAAAAGAAAAGAUGGAUUAGUCUUUUUUAGUGGAAAAGCAAAAGAAAGUAGUGUUUGUCGUUGUACGUUUAUGCGUGAUGAUCUAUCAGAUAGAGAUGACACUGAGGACUUGCCUUGGAUUUGUUGAGCUAAAAUUUUAUGACGGUAGAGGAACAGAAGUAUUCGGG